AGGAGGGACAGUCUCUUGGU
rnacentral:misc_RNA from 1 species